rnacentral:rRNA from 1 species
AGCAGUAGCCGCGGGAAUACGGAGGGUGCAAGCGUUAAUCGGAAUUACUGGGCGUAAAGCGCACGCAGGCGGUCUGACAAGUCAGAUGUGAAAUCCCCGGGCUUAACCUGGGAACUGCAUUUGAAACUGUCAGGCUGGAGUCUUGUAGAGGGGGGUAGAAUUCCAGGUGUAGCGGUGAAAUGCGUAGAGAUCUGGAGGAAUACCGGUGGCGAAGGCGGCCCCCUGGACAGAGACUGACGCUCAGGUGCGAAAGCGUGGGGAGCAAACAGGAUUAGAUACCCCUGUAGUCCCUGUCUCUUAUAC